ensembl:lncRNA novel transcript
ACACAACAAGGAAGUUUCUCACCAAACCUUCUACCUCUCCGCAUGAGAUCUAACAACGGAAAUGAACAUGAGAUCUAAAACACAGAAAAUCCUGGGGAGCACAUCAAAGAGAAUCAGGUUUAUUCCAGAAAGGUGAACUUGAACUGCCUCCAGGUAAUUUCAGUGAUUUGUAAGAAUAACCCCUGUGAUGUCCUGAGGCAAUCUUCUGUGGGUCCAUUUUCUCCAUCCAUGAGUACGUCUCCACGGUCCUGAGAUUGGGAGCAGAGAUACAAAGUUCUCUGGGAUGUUUUUUUCUCUGUUGGUUUGUCUGUCUCUAACUUUCUUUUAGAACAAUUCUCAAAUCACAUUUCCUCCAAAUAUCUUUCUCUCAUUGCUCUGGGCUACGUAGAAAAAAAAAUGCCCAAUUCUAUUUUGAAGUUCUGAAGAGGAUUGAUUUGUAUCACUUUUUUAGCAUUCAGAACUGACUUAAAAUUCUUAGUCUUCCCUCCAUUUCAAGAUGCUUUCUACCUAGCUGUAUUGCAAACUGCUUAAGGUAAAAAGUGGUCUUUUGUACACUCACGUCACUCUCUACUGAGCAUAGUGCUCACCUAAGACAACUUUGAUUAGUUUUUGCUGAUAAAAGAAAAUCAGAAAACCUAUCUUCCAAAAUAUAGAAAGUUUGCAAAAUCGUAGAGUUGUUUGGGGACUUUUUCUUAUAUUUGUGAAGUCUGGAAGCAAAAUUACAGGUACUCUAAUCCCACAGUUUUUUUUUACUUGCAUUUGAAACUUUGCUAGAUAAACUGUUACUUGCUAAAAUAAAACCAGACAGAUCGAUAAACAAAGAGGACAAGAACAGACAUCUAUGCUGAUAAGCGGCAUGCUUUCUUUUGCUAACUAGCUUGUUCUUUUGUGAUGAUAUUUUGCUUAGUUACCUUUAUCUGUUUUGAACGAUACCAAGCAUUCCGUUGACUUAUUUUACUCAUAAGCAAUGAUAAUUCGCAUGAGGAUAAAAAAGGGACAAGACGGCAGAGUCCAUUUGAAAGGAGUUUCCCGCCAACCAUGUUGGAGACUCCUGAUUCCUCCUCACUUGACUGGAAAUUCAGGUGAUAGUUAUCUGGUGAUAAUCAUUAGGAUUAAUGUAUACAAUUUAUUUUGAUUUUAUAAUCUGUAAUGGUCAUAUAAGCACUAAUAUGAUUUCCUGAAUUCACUAUUCUACUGGAAAGAAAAUGUUUUGAUCAGCUAACAAAUAUAUACAUCCUUCAUUUA